rnacentral:rRNA from 1 species
AUUGAACGCUGGCGGCAUGCUUUACACAUGCAAGUCGAACGGCAGCGCGGGCUUCGGCCUGGCGGCGAGUGGCGAACGGGUGAGUAAUGCAUCGGAACGUGCCCAGUAGUGGGGAUAGCCCGGCGAAAGCCGGAUUAAUACCGCAUACGACCUGAGGGUGAAAGCGGGGGACCGAAAGGCCUCGCGCUAUUGGAGCGGCCGAUGUCGGAUUAGCUAGUUGGUGGGGUAAAGGCUUACCAAGGCGACGAUCCGUAGCUGGUCUGAGAGGACGACCAGCCACACUGGGACUGAGACACGGCCCAGACUCCUACGGGAGGCAGCAGUGGGGAAUUUUGGACAAUGGGGGCAACCCUGAUUCAGCCAUGCCGCGUGCGGGAAGAAGGCCUUCGGGUUGUAAACCGCUUUUGUUCGGGAAGAAAUCCUCUGGGCUAAUACCCCGGGGGGAUGACGGUACCGGAAGAAUAAGCACCGGCUAACUACGUG